GGCGUCCGGCAGCCAUACCUACAGACGCCCGUGGAAGGAACAGAUUUAUUUCACAGAGCACCACCAUGGUUUUCCCUGGAGAAUUUUCUGGGUGUAACACAUCCUAUUCCACCAGUCUCCCACCAUCAACGGUUUUAAUACAACCACCGUCCUACGUGGCAGAGACAUCGCUGACAGACUUGGAGAUCAUCCUCCCAGAACCAUCGCCAUUUGAACAUCCAGAAUACGGUUUCCAUAAUUACCACGUACCUCCACUGUACUGCCACCUGCCUCCUGAACAACCCUUGUUCCUUGCCUCUUUCCUCACUGUAUUACACCAGGUGUAAACUCUGUGUCUUUCAACCCACUGAUUUCUGGCAAGGAAGUGGCGAGAGAAGGGCCCAAGUGAAGAAACUGAUGGAGGUGGGGGAAGACUCAGGUUAGACUAGUGGCUUUUUGGUGAGAGGGGCAACAAUGUAAAUCUGAGCUCACAAAUUUUAUGGAGAUCAGUGGUUCGGGACAAGGCUCAGUCGCCCUUGUCCUUUUUUGUACAUUAACUGAGCAACAGUUUUGAGGAGAGAUGAAAAUAAUACAAUGGAUACUGUGAAUUACAGUUUCACCCUGGGUCUUUUUCUCUUCUUUUUUUCCAAUGGGACAAAUUCAUUAGUUAUACGUUCCAGAAAACAUGGCUUUAUGGGCAGAAUGAAAAGGCGGUAAAGAAUUUUAACAGCAGUAAUGUCCUGGGCCCAUAACCUGUUAGAGUAUAUGCAGCAUUUUGAGGUCUUGAUUUAAGGAGCAAACCCAAUGCUUUACUGUAGGACCUCCAUUCUAAGAAAGCAACAUUACUAAUGAUAUAACCUAGCUGCAUCUUGUAAAGUUGAAAGAGGACUCAUAGGAAGAAGAAGAAAUGGAGAAACAUCACUAGAUUGGUAGGAUUGGUAGACAUAAAGAGACAUUUCAGGUCACUUAGACUAUCUAAGUCUAUUACUACUUCCCACUGUGAGAGAUCCUUCACUCUUCAGAGCCAAGCAUUAUUACAUUUCCAAGGUCAUCAGCAGAAAUCCCAGUCUUCUGUUUUCUGAGAGAUCUUGGUUUAUAUACUUAAUGUCUUAUCACAGCGGUUCUCAACCUAUCAGUCCCCAAGUGUUUUGGCCUACAACUCCCAGAAAUCCCAGCCAGUUUACCAGUUGUUAGGAUUUCUGGGAGUUGAAGGCCGAAACAUCUGGGGAGCCACAAGUUGAGAACCACUGUCAUCAGGUCAUAGAGGUGAAAAGGGACCACAGGGUCAACUAAUUCAAUCCAUUGUCAAUACAUUAAAGUGCCUUGGAAAGAUGGGCAUUGGACUUGUAUUCAGAAAAACGUCAAUGAAAAGGGAGUCUGGUGACUUCAGAGAUUGUCCUUUGUCACUGUUGAACAGCUCUUACCAUCAGAUAGUUGUUACACAAUCAACUGGUUUGGAUCCUGCGUUCUAUGGCACCAGCAGACAAAGAUCGAUCCCUCUUGAGGACAACACUUCUUCUAACUUGAAGAUGGAUCGCAUAUCAUAUCUUAUUCUUCUGUUCUCCAAGAGAACAAACCCACAUGUUUACCCAUUCCCACCAGAGUUCGAUUACUUUCCCCCCAUCAUUAAAGUGUGGUUUUUUCAUCAAUGAGACAAACUA